GAGCUGUCCUUAGUACGAGAGGACCGGGAUGGAGGCACCGCUGGUGUACCAGUUGUUCUGCCAAGGGCAUCGCUGGGUAGCUAUGUGCGGACGGGAUAAGUGCUGAAAGCAUCUAAGCAUGAAGCCCCCCUCAAGAUGAGAUUUCCCAUUCCGCAAGGAAGUAAGAUCCCUGAAAGAUGAUCAGGUUGAUAGGUCUGAGGUGGAAGUGUGGCGACACAUGGAGCUGACAGAUACUAAU
rnacentral:rRNA from 1 species